CUUUGAUCAAGUUGCUGAGAACUCUUUUUCGUUAACCUAUUUUCGAAGAUUCUUUUAUUAUCUUGCGACAGCAUUAGUGGGCUUAGGUUUUCCAAUCGUACUGCGGCAUGAACUCUCUCUGACUCUCUCAAAUUCUCAAUCCACCGACGACUCCAAACCCUUCACGUAUCAAAGGUCCAUCAAUUGGAAAGUUUAACUCUUAGCUCUUGAGAGGAAUAAUGUCUGGAAGAAAUCGCGGACCACCUCAUGCUGGACUACCCCCUGCGGUCCAUGAACAGCCAUUCGGCAGAGGCGUUGGACCAAUACCCCAUCCAGCUCUACUCGAGGAGAUGAGAGAAUCGCAGUUCGGAAUGGGUGGUCCCAGACCUCUACCUCCUCAUCCUGCAAUAAUUCAGGAGGGUCUUGAUGCUCAGUAUCAAGACAUUCAGGGGCUCUUAGUCGAUAACCAGAGGCUAGCUGCUACCCAUGUUGCUCUUAAGCAGGAACUGGAAGCUACCCAGCAUGAGUUGCAAAGAAUGGGUCACUUUGCAGAUUCCUUUCGGGCAGAGAAGGAUGGUCAGAUGAGAGAAUUGUAUGAGAAGUCUGUUCAUUUGGAGGUGGAUCUUCGUGGGGUGGAGGCUAUGCGUGCUGAGCUUCUUCAAGUUCGUGCUGAUAUUAAAGAGCUUAGUGUUGCAAGGCAGGAGCUAGCAGGUCAGGGACAAGCAAUGACACAAGAUUUGGCUAGACUUUCAGCAGAUUUGCAACAGGCGCCAGCUUUAAGGGCGGAAAUUGAGACUAUGAAGCAGGAGUUGCAGCGUGCAAAAGCUGCCAUUGAGUAUGAGAAGAAAGGAUAUGCAGAGAAUUAUGAACAUGGUCAGUUGAUGGAGAAAAAGUUGCUCUCAAUGGCUCGAGAGUUGGAGAAGCUUCGUGCAGAGAUUGCUAAUGCAGAGAAGAGAGCUCGUGCUGCUGCUGCUGUUGGGAAUCCGGGGACAGGCUACAAUGUGAAUUAUGGCAAUCCGGAAGCAGGUUAUGCCGGAAAUCUUUAUCCUAUGAGCUAUGGCUUGAAUCCAGUACAGGCUGCUGCAGAAAAUUUCCCUCAUUAUGGGCCCACUCCUGGUUCCUGGAGUGCCUAUGAAAUGCAACGAACUCAAGGACACAGAUAGACUUUUUCUCUACGCUAUCAUGCCAAGCUGUGUUCUAACUGGUUUACAACCCAUUGUCUCUACAAAUUUUCUUCUGCAUUACAUCCAUUGAUGAGGGUGGUUUGAUGUCAUAGAAAGCGUCGGUGCGGGUUUCAGGUGGUUGUCCUUUGAAGCGCUGGCUUUACUGGGAGUUUCCUGAAGACGUAAUUGGCCAUUUUCAUGUCUAUACUGCAAGGGGUUUUGAUCCAGCUUUCUGACAUGUCUCGCUUUUGGUGGCCUCAUCUCCCUUGGGCACAGCGUUGAAAAUCAUCUACAAUUUGCAAGCUAAUAAUGAUAUAUUCUUUUUGAUUCAUUUUGUAAAUUAUCAAAGCCUGUUAUUAUUGGAAAAGUAAGUCCCUGUUUGGGACUGCAUUUUUAUAUCUAGAAAAAGCUUCAUUUUCAUGUACUAAAAGUACUUUUUAACCUCUUUUAACACAAAUCUAAACAGGUUCCAAGUCUCGUGUGUACUCUAUUGUCUAGCCCAGCAUUUGGACCCAAAAACAAAAAAGAAAAAGCAUGUUUCGUGGUCCUUGUGUUGUAUGUAAUGUACUCAUUAAUAGAGGCGAUUAAGUGUCUCCCUAUUUUCCUUUU